UACGUAGGGACCGAGCGUUGUCCGGAUUCAUUGGGCGUAAAGCGUGCGCAGGCGGUUUUGUAAGCCAGAUGUGAAAUCCCCGGGCUUAACCUGGGAAUGGCAUUUGGGACUGCAAGGCUCGAGUGCGGCAGAGGAGACUGGAAUUCCUGGUGUAGCAGUGAAAUGCGUAGAUAUCAGGAGGAACACCGAUGGCGAAGGCAGGUCUCUGGGCUGACACUGACGCUCAUGCACGAAAGCGCGGGGAGCAAACAGG
rnacentral:rRNA from 1 species